rnacentral:rRNA from 1 species
AGAGUUUGAUCAUGGCUCAGAAUCAACGCUGGCGGCGCGCUUAACACAUGCAAGUCGAGCGAGAAAGGGGAGCAAUCCCUGAGUACAGCGGCGUACGGGUGAGUAACACGUGGGUAAUCUGCCUUUUAGUGGGGAAUAACCCUGGGAAACCGGGGCUAAUACCGCAUAAUCCUGUGAAGGGAAAGCAGCAAUGCGCUGAAAGAGGAGCCCGCGGCCGAUUAGCUAGUUGGUGAGGUAACGGCUCACCAAGGCGGUGAUCGGUAGCCGGCCUGAGAGGGCACACGGCCACACUGGCACUGAAACACGGGCCAGACUCCUACGGGAGGCAGCAGUGGGGAAUCUUGCACAAUGGAGGCAACUCUGAUGCAGCGACGCCGCGUGAGCGAUGAAGCCCCUCGGGGUGUAAAGCUCUUUCGGCAGGGACGAUUAUGACGGUACCUGAAGAAGAAGCUGCGGCUAACUACGUGCCAGCAGCCGCGGUAAUAC